rnacentral:rRNA from 1 species
AGGGAAUAUUGGACAAUGGGCGCAAGCCUGAUCCAGCCAUGCCGCGUGAGUGAAGAAGGCCCUCGGGUUGUAAAGCUCUUUUGUCCGGAAAGAAAAGCAUCGGGUUAAUACCCCGGUGUUCUGACGGUACCGGAAGAAUAAGCACCGGCUAACUUCGUGCCAGCAGCCGCGGUAAUACGAAGGGUGCAAGCGUUACUCGGAAUUACUGGGCGUAAAGCGUGCGUAGGUGGUUCGUUAAGUCUGAUGUGAAAGCCCUGGGCUCAACCUGGGAAUGGCAUUGGAAACUGGCGGACUGGAGUGCGGUAGAGNGUAGCGGAAUUCCCGGUGUAGCAGUGAAAUGCGUAGAGAUCGGGAGGAACAUCCGUGGCGAAGGCGGCUACCUGGACCAGCACUGACACUGAGGCACGAAAGCGUGGGGAGCAAACA